rnacentral:rRNA from 1 species
UACGUAGGGGGCAAGCGUUAUCCGGAUUUACUGGGUGUAAAGGGAGCGUAGACGGCCAGACAAGUCUGAAGUGAAAAUCCAGCGCUUAACGUUGGAAGUGCUUUGGAAACUGCCGGGCUAGAGUGCAGGAGGGGCAGGCGGAAUUCCUAGUGUAGGGGUAAAAUCCGUAGAGAUCAAGAGGAAUACUCAUUGCGAAGGCGACCUGCUAGAACAUAACUGACGCUGAUGCGCGAAAGCGUGGGGAGCAAACAGG